rnacentral:rRNA from 1 species
UACAGAGGGGGCAAGCGUUAUUCGGAAUUAUUGGGCGUAAAGGGCGCGUAGGCGGCAUGGCAAGUGGAUGGUGAAAUCCCUCGGCUUAACCGAGGAACUGCCGUCCAAACUGCUUCGCUUGAGACCGGGAGAGGUGAGUGGAAUUCCCAGUGUAGCGGUGAAAUGCGUAGAUAUUGGGAGGAACACCAGUGGCGAAGGCGACUACCUGGCCUGUUCUUGACGCUGAGGCGCGAAAGCUAGGGGAGCAAACGGG